rnacentral:lncRNA from 1 species
CUGUCACGGGUUGGCCCAUGUGGCCAGGUCUGGCUACCGGGAUGAAACCCCGUGCACUCUCUAACCGGCGAACGGCGGCGCCGCCUCGCGACCGCGCAGGACGGAUAGCCAGACGCGACCGUGGCGCCACCGUCAGGUGAUCACCGUACCCUCGCCUCCGGUUCCUUGCUCUUUACCCCGCGCGCGUCUGCUGCAUUUCAACUUGCUCGUCGCGCCGCGCGCUGCAGGCGCCGCCGCCGCGCGAGUGGUCUGUUCCGGUGAUGAUGGUGCCUAUAAGCCAUUGAAAGAACGUUGGAAGACAAAUCUCCUGGCAGCAUUCAGAAACUCUGUAGGUCAUUUGUCUCGGUAUGGGUAUGGGUGCCUCGUGCUGGUCUGCCCCUGCUGCUGCUAGGUUUCAGGAUUUAGCCGGCAUACCACAUCACAUUGUAGGGUUGCGACUUGUGGUGGACGAGAUCACCACAGAGACCUAUUGAUGGGUCGGGCCUCAGCAUUUGGUGGCAGUUUUUGAUGUUGUAACUACCCACUCUGCAUGUCCUAUUUUCAGUCCGUUUUGUUCGUGAUGUUCUCUGAAUCAUUUGCUUGCUCGUCCCACUGCUUGGACCAUCGAAUUGGCCGAGUUCCUCGAUUUUACCCGUGUUGGUUCACUAGUCAGUACUUUUGUUUCGGCAAUUCGGCCACGGUGACCCUACGAUAUAUUGUCUCCUACUAGUGAUGGCCAAAAUGUUUUCAGUUUCUUCUGCUCUUUCUGUGCACAGUUUAGAAGGAGAAUGUUGGAGAUCGAUGAACCGAGCAAACUGCUCAUUAUCAUUACUCAUGGCACACACAGUUUGUGUUGCCAAGAGGGAAAGCGGAGACGAAUUACAAGAUUUCCGUAUACCGGAGUGUCACAGUCUGUAGUCUGUACAAAAGAACUAAUGAGGCCAGUCAGAACAGAACCAGUGGCUCUGUUGCAUAGACUAUACAGUCUACUAAUCUACUUGUGUAUUGCAGCAUAAUUUGCUAUGUACUCCACUAGAUAGACACAUUCCCCCGCAAAAAAUAAAAUACAUUGCUAUCUACAUUGUGAACUAGCUGAAUUUUGCCUCUGAAGGUUAGCAUCUAUGCUGUUCAGGAAAGCUACUACCUCCUGUAUUGCUGGCCUCAUUCCAGGAUUGUGGUUGACGCACUGGCAAGCAACUUCAACCACCUUCAGCAUCUGCUCUUCAUAUCCUGUGCCUCGAAGCGCUGGAUCGAGUACUUCAAUCUGCUCCCCUUUGGAUCUCAUCUCCUGUACCCACUUGACAAGCUCUUUUGACCUGGGACAGAUAUGAACAGGCCGCCUCCCCGUGACAAGUUCAAGCAGGACCACUCCAAAACUGUACAUAUCACCUCUCAGUGUAGCCACCCAUCCUUGCCCGUACUCUGGGGGGAUGUAACCGAGAGUACCGACCAACUCAGUGGUAACAUGAGUUCUGUUGGGAAAGAUCAAUCUGGAGAGCCCAAAAUCUGCAACAUAAGCUUUGAAGUCUUUAUCUAGUAGUAUGUUGCUCGACUUGAUGUCACGGUGAACAAUGUGAGGCUUGCAUCCAUCAUGGAUGUAAGAUAGACCCUGGCUUGCUCCUUGUGCAAUCUUCAGCCGGAUCGGCCAGUCAAGAAAUGGGUUGUCAUCGGUGUCCCUGUUGUGAAGCCAAUCAUCCAGGCUGCCGUUCUCCAUGUAGGAGUAUAUCAGUAGUCUUGAAUCUCCCUGUAUGCAGUAGCCCCAGAAUGGUACAAGAUUGUCAUGCUGCGCCAUGGAGAGUGCAUCAACCUCUGCACUGAAUUCCCUUUCCAUCAGACACAUUUCGCUGUUAAGCUUUUUUAUGGCGACCUUUGAGCCAUCAGGUAGCUCAGCCUUGUAGACCAGCCCAUAACCUCCACAGCCAAUGAUAUGAUCCUUGUGAAAGUUCUUUGUAGCCUUCAGGAGAUCGGCGACGGUGAGUUUGUUUUGUUCUCCCUUGCCUCGUGGAACCAUCACCAAGGAGUAUUCUGAAUUGAGGUUUGAAGAUGUCGCCUCUAUGUCAUUGUUGUUGUUGCUCCACCUUUUGGUCAAGAAACUUGUGCCCCUGAGCAAGAAAAGGAGACGAGCCAGCAAGAAAAGAAUGGCCACCCCUCCAAAAAAUACACCAAAUGCAAGUGCAAAAACACCCUUCUUUUUCUUUCUUCUCUGGGUGAUCGGAGGUGUUUUUGCUGAGCUGCAAUGGUUUACAAGCAUAUGACCGCACAAUUUUGGGUUGCCAUCAAAGCUAGAAUUUGGAAACGUGCUAAGCUGGCCCACAGCUGGAAUAGACCCUUCCAGGUCAUUAUUGGAAAUGUUGAAUUUUGAAAGGAAGUGCAGAUUGCUUAAUGCAGCUGGAAUUUUACCAAUGAGAUGAUUACCAGACAAGUCGAGCGUCUGCAGGCUCGUGAGGUUGCAGAUCGCUUCUGGGAUCUCUCCAGAUAGUUGGUUAGAGCUCAGGUUGAGGAAAAUGAGUCCUUUCAACUGACCAAUCUUCUGAGGUAUCAUGCCAGUGAAGUUAUUUAUCCCUAGAUUCAGUACUUUGGGAAAAGCACUGGGCAUGAGAUAUUGCCUAUAUGGACUCUUAUUAUAAACAGGCAGCUCAAAGACCUUUGGUGCAGUUUUGUCUGACUUUAGCAUUGGCAUCUCCAUUAAGUCACUGGGAAUUUCCCCUGCAAGCCUGUUGUUUGUUAUGUCUAGAUAGAAGAGCAAGUUUAAGCUGCUGAUCCAGUCAGGUAUUGACCCAGUGAGGUGAUUGUUGUGUAAAAACAGCAUCCCCAAGUUGGGUAGCUUUGAUAACCAAUGAGGAAUUGUUCCAGACAAUGAACAAUCAUUCAUGGAAAAGACCUGGAGAUUGUCAAAACCAUCAGUAUUGACAUCCUGUGGCAUGGCCUCAUGCAUGAAGUUGAAUCCAAGAAGAAGGGUGGUGAGGCUCUUGCAGCUCCUAAGGAUCUGAAGUGUUCUUGUGAUAUCUGUAAGGUUGUUUUUAGCAAGUGAUAGGAACGAGAGAGACUUCAGAUUACCUAUUCUUUCUGACAACUGGCCAUGGAAAUUGUUACUGGAUAGCCGUAGUGCAGUCAGCCUACUGCAGGAGUAUAUGCUUUCUGGAACUGUGCCUGUUAAAUUGUUGUAGAGAAGAUCUAAAACUUUUAGAUUGGGCAGGCCUGUGAAGUUGACCUUGGUAAGUUCUCCACUGAAGUUGUUGCUCUUGAGGUCAAUUGUUACGAGAUUAGUGCAGUUGCUGAGAGCUGAUGGCAGCUCCCCUGACAUGUUAUUGUGCUCCAAAUGCAGCUCCUCCAAUCUCUUGAGGUCACCUAUGGACUCUGGAAUACUGCCGCUGAGCUCAUUCCCCCCAAGAUCAAUGGUGACCAGAUUCGUGAGCUUGCCGAUGCCAUUGAUAGCUCCUUCUAAACCAUUGCUAGGUAAAGAGAGGUGCUCUAGCGAGGUAACUUUGAAGAGCCCGUCGGGAAGAGUCCCAACGAGGUUGUUGUAUCCAGCGCCAAACAGUUUCAGCGCGGAGCAGUUACUGAGCCCUGGAGGGAUGUUUCCACUGAAAUCGUUAAAACUGAGGUCGAGCACCGCCAAAGAUGGCGCGCUCACACAGGGGGCAGUUGGUAUCCGCCCGGUAAGGCUGUUGGUGCUGGCAUUGAGCGCGACCAGGCUCUUCAUCCCCUCCCAUAUAGCGGAUGGAAACCUUCCUGUAAACAGGUUGCUCGAGAUGUUGAGUACCUGCAGAGGCCGCGCAGGUGUCGAUGGUGGCAGAUCGCUCAGCCCUCCUGUGAGAAGGUUGAAGCUGACGUCAAGGACGACGAUGCUGCUCGACGACACCAACUCCAGCGGCAAGCCGCCGGACAGCGAGUUGCGCGACAGGUUGAGGUGCAGGAGGCCGGUGAGGUUGCCAAGCGAGGACGGCGAGAUGGACCCCUCGAGGCCCCGAGAAGCCAGCGAAACAUCGGUGACCGCCCCAUCGGGACCGGCGCAGGCGAUCCCCUCCCACGAGCAGCAGUCCGUGUCCCUCCGCCACGCCGCCGCGAGCCCGUCGUCCCGCGAGAACCCAGCGAGGAGCCGGAGGAGGGAGCUCCUCUCCUGCUCCGUGCAGGAGCUUGCCGGAGAGGCCAAGGAGGCGAGGAGGAGCAGCAGCAGGAGCGGCAGGGGCCUGCUGUCCGGGCAACGGUGUGGCUGCAUCUGCAUGGCUUUGUGAGGAAGCUGGCAAGGGGGAGCCAAUGAGAAUGGGCGGGCUGGUGAAGAAAGAGCACGAGAGGAACGGGGGCGCUCCUUUUUGUUUGAUGAUAUCUCUCUCUCUCUCGCUCUCGGGCCAAGGAAAAAGAAAUGGGUCAAGGAUUGGCUGCUAUUGCCCUAUCCGGCACAACGCCGUCCACGUUCACACCUUUGACAUUUUCGGCAGGGAUCGCCUGUCGGUAAGUUGACCUCGCGUUCAUGGUAGUUAGCAGUCAUCCAUGAUUAGUUACUUGUCCUAACCGGGCGGGGCGUGUUAAUCUACUACUUACUAGCAGUCGUUGUUGAUCAAGUCCUUGAUGGAUGGUCUGUUAUGUUAAUUCCGCGUUUAAUUUACUUGACCUGACAUGAAUAACAUGGCGGCUCUCCUAACAGGUAACUGGAUUGUUGCCUCAUCUUGUCCUGCUGUGUUAUUUGAUGAUGAAUCCCUUUGGCCCAUGAUAGAUCCAAGCCGGUUUACAAUGUGUGAUGGGCGAGGCAGCAGCAUAUAUAGAGAGGGAAGUGGUGCAUGGUUGAAGGCCGCCGGCAACGUCGCGGUCAACGCGUGUAUGCGGCAUGGUUUUGUAUAAAGAGCAUCCAAGUGGAGGGCGAUGGUGAUUUCGAGCAAGGCGACACGCCGAGGCCGAACCUGAGCAGAGCAGAUAAGGAGCGGAGAUACACGCUGCCUUUUGGUAAGCAAGGAUACUACUCUAGUACUCCGUAAUAUAGGUUAGCUACUCCAGCGACCUAUAUUACGGUACAGAGGGAGUAGUAUUUUCUACGCAUUUCUCUGCGUUUUUAGACUCAAGUUGGGACACUUGCUUCUUGUUUAGUUUCGUGGCUCUGCAUCAUCAGUCGCGGUCGGCAUAACGAAUAUCCUGCGCAAAUGGGCCAACAUUGUUUACUUUGCAGGCACCUAAGCGAGCUGUGCUUGGUCCGCCCACUUGUCAAUAGCUAGUCAACUUGACAGGUGCCUGCCUGCUGGCUCCUGUCUGGACUGUCUUGUGACUUUGUGAGAGAAAACAAACGGGGGCUGAUUUUACUUGUUCUUUUU